GUAGGUGGCAAGCGUUGUCCGGAAUUAUUGGGCGUAAAGCGCGCGCAGGCGGUUCUUUAAGUCUGAUGUGAAAGCCCACGGCUCAACCGUGGAGGGUCAUUGGAAACUGGAGAACUUGAGUACAGAAGAGGAAAGCGGAAUUCCACGUGUAGCGGUGAAAUGCGUAGAGAUGUGGAGGAACACCAGUGGCGAAGGCGGCUUUCUGGUCUGUAACUGACGCUGAGGCGUGAAAGCGUGGGGAGCAAACAGGAUUAGAUACCCUGGUAGUCCACGCCGUAAACGAUGAGUGCUAAGUGUUAGGGGGGUUUUCCGCCCCCCUUAGUGCUGCAGCUAACGCAUUAAGCACUCCGCCUGGGAGUACGGCCGCAAGGCUG
rnacentral:rRNA from 1 species